GGCUGGUCUGAAGGUAGUGAGCUAUCUCAAUUGAUUGUUCACAGUCAGUACAGAUUGAGCUCCUUGUCCUACUCUUUUCCCCCUUCUCACUACUGCACUUGACUAGUCUUAA
ensembl:misc_RNA Y_RNA Y RNA